rnacentral:rRNA from 1 species
GAUUAACGCUGGCGGCGUGCAUAACACAUGCAAGUCGAACGAUGAAACUUAAAUGAUUUCUUCGGAAUGAACUUAAGUGGAUUAGUGGCGGACGGGUGAGUAACGCGUGAGUAACCUGCCUUACACAAGGGGAUAGCCGUUGGAAACGACGAAUAAUACCCUAUGAAACUAUCACUUCGCAUGAAGCGAUAGUCAAAGUGUUAGCGGUGUAAGAUGGACUUGCGUCUGAUUAGCUAGUUGGUGAGAAAAAAGCCCACCAAGGCAACGAUCAGUAGCCGGCUUGAGAGAGUGUACGGCCACAUUGGGACUGAGACACGGCCCAGACUCCUACGGGAGGCAGCAGUGGGGAAUUUUGCACAAUGGGGGAAACCCUGAUGCAGCGACGCCGCGUGAUUUAGAAGGCCUUCGGGUUGUAAAAAUCUUUUGUAUAGGAAGAAAAUGACAGUACUAUACGAAUAAGGUCCGGCUAAUUACGG